rnacentral:tRNA from 1 species
GGGGUUGUGGCUCAGUGGUAGAGCACUCGCCUCAUAUGUGCCAGACCCUGGGUUCCAGCCUCAGCACCACA